rnacentral:rRNA from 1 species
UACGAAGGGGGCUAGCGUUGCUCGGAAUCACUGGGCGUAAAGGGUGCGUAGGCGGGUCUUUAAGUCAGGGGUGAAAUCCUGGAGCUCAACUCCAGAACUGCCUUUGAUACUGAAGAUCUUGAGUUCGGGAGAGGUGAGUGGAACUGCGAGUGUAGAGGUGAAAUUCGUAGAUAUUCGCAAGCAGACCUGUGGCGAAGGCGAGUCACUGGCCGGAUGCUGACGCUGAGGCACGGAAGGGUGGGGAGCAAACAGG